rnacentral:lncRNA from 1 species
UCAGACUAAAAGCCUAUCUCAAAUUUCAAUAGAAAGAAAAUUUCUGAAACUUUCUAGAGAGAAUACAAAAAGUUAUAUUUCAAAUUGGUAGAGAGAGGAACUUUAAGAGAGAGUGAAGGGAUGUGCAGCAAUUGUAGGUUUAUAUAUGUCAGGGUAUUUUAUCCAAAAUAUAGUUUUUUUUUUUUAUGAGUUGGCCCAAAACUAAAUAGUAAUGAGGUUAGUUUUGGUACUUACAAAGUAGUGGUAGAGCUACACUUAGAAAGUGUUAAAAGUACUGGGUACAGCAAUGCUUGACAGUGUGGUCCGGGGGAUACACCAUGAGGAUAGAGUGGAGGUAUAUUUGACUUAAACAGGUUUGAUGGACCCUCUUAGGUCUUCAUCACCAUUAGGCCCAUUGAUGAGAGCAGAUCGUGGUGUUAUGCUGGCAUUGAUUAUUCUAUACUUUUUAAUGAUCAAAGGGCCUCACAUUGUUUCCAAGGAUCUAGGCCACAUUUUGGGUUCCAUAAAAAAUAGUGUAAAAUGGUUUGAUAGGGCUGCAACCCUAUCAAAAUAUGUAGACCUCACCUCAUGA